GGUGGGGGGAGGCGGGUGUCAGACCCAGCAGUGCCGCAGCCUCCAGUGGGACAGACACUCAGCUCCAGCCCAUGGCUGCCAGAGAAGAAAACUGAGGCUCAGACAGGUUAAGUGUCUUGCUCAUGACCACUCAGGCAUCAGCGGCAGAGCUGGAGUUCCAGCCCAAGUUCUAACUCUUCCUUCCACAUUCUAUUCCCUAUCUCUUGCACUAGAACCUCAAAGAGAGGACUGAAAUAUGGGUGGCUUGGGAGUAUUGAUGGAGACAAUGAGGGGUGCCGAAGCCACCGUGGAGAACCAGUGCCUCUCAUCUCCAGUCUAUGACUGGCUGGAAUGAGGAGGUCAAUCUGCAGCUUUGGACAGAGUCUCCUUCUGUGCAGAACUAAAUGGCCCACAUCAUCAUCAAAUAAACAACUCCAACAUCACCAGUACUGCAGUCCAGACACCCCAGAUGGUAGCUUAAUCGCCUGAAAGAAUUAAUAGUGCACCUCUAAGCACAUUAUUCACCCGGAGAAUAGUAUAGGCAAUGGAAAGAAUCUGGCCCAUUAUAUCCCACACCAUUGUUAAAUAAUAUGCAAUCACAGAGAUGAAGCACGGCAUAUGGUGAUCGCUCCACUAUAUUGAGAUUCAUUGUAAUA